rnacentral:rRNA from 1 species
UUGGCCGUAAAUAAAUUAAAUUUACCAGAGUACUAUGAACUAAGAAGUUUAAAACUCAAAGAGCUUGGCGGUGUUUUAGACCUCUCAGGGGAACCUGUCUCAUAAUCGACAAUCCACGCUAUACCUAACCUUAUUUUGCUUUUACAGUUUGUAUACCGUCGUCGUCAGGUAACUUUUAAAAACUUAGAAGUUAGCAGAAAAGCUAUAUAAGCUUACACGUCAGAUCAAGGUGCAGCUCAUAUUAAGGUGAGGAUGGGUUACAAUUAUAAAAUCAUAACUAGGAAGUAAUUAUAAUAAUAUAUAAUUAUAAGGAGGACUUGAAAGUAAACUAAAUUAUAAAAACAUUUUGAAUAAGGCUCUGAAACGUGC